rfam:Populus trichocarpa isolate Nisqually-1 chromosome 5, whole genome shotgun sequence.
UUACACCAUCGACGUAAUUCGUCCGGGGCAAACAAACACAUGAGUGCUCAGAAUCACCCGUUAUUGCAGGUCUGACUAUAUUAUGUACCUUCACCCAAGCAAAUUUCAACUUAAAUAUUUUAUAGAAGUC